AAACGCGGAUUGGCUCAUUAUAACAGCUAUGAUUGAGAGAUUUUAUCAUUUUGCCACAAGAUAACUGUGGUAAUUCUAGAGCNAAUAUUUUUAAGAAUGCCGUGACUCACGAAGCGGCGGAUUUAUUAGAUCAAAAUCAACCGCUGAAAGGCGGUAUUUUGAUGACUCUGGAUAAUUUUACUGAUCGUACGACCUUUGUGUUGACGACAUAUCUCUUGAAGUGGCUGACCUAUCAACUUUCGAUGGUAAGAUAAACGCUUACCAUNGUUGUAACGGGUAACGGGGAAUCAGUGUUCGAUUCCGGAGAGGGAGCCUGAGAAACGGCUACCACAUCCACGGAAGGCAGCAGGCGCGUAAAUUACCCAAUACCGGUUCGGUGAGGUAGUGACAAAAAAUAACAAUAUGGGCCCUAGUGGUUUCAUAAUUGCAAUGAGAACAUUUUAAAUACUUUAUCAAGUAUCAAUUGGAGGGCAAGUUUCCAGCUCCAUAGCGUAUAUUAAAGUUGUUGCAGUUAAAAAGCUCGUAGUUGAAAUUGAGGAAAAAGAUGGUUUGAAAUCUNUGAUUGAGAGCUAUCUUGUCCUUCGAAGUCGUGUAUAUCUUUGAUGCUCUUUAAUGGGUGUUGAGGAUGACCGACAAGUUUACUUUGAAAAAAUUAGAGUGCUUAAAGCAGCGUUACGCUUGUAUAUUGUUGCAUGGAAUAAUAAAAUAGGACUUCGGUUUUAUUUUGUUGGUUUUCGAAACUGAAGUAAUGAUUAAAAGAGACUGCCGGGGGCAUAUGUAUGCUGGUGCUAGAGGUGAAAUUCUUAGAUCAUCAGCAGACAGUCUACUGCGAAAGCAUUUGCCAAGAAUGUUUUCAUUAAUCAAGNNCGAAAGUCAGAGGAUCGAAGACGAUCAGAUACCGUCCUAGUUCUGACCAUAAACUAUGCCAACUGACAGUUCGCGAAGGUAAUUCAAAUCUCCUUGCGAGAAGUCACCGGGAAACCUAAGUCUAUGGGNUCCGGGGGAAGUAUGGUUGCAAGUGCAUGGCCGUUCUUAGUGUGGUGGAGCGAUUUGUCUGGUUAAUUCCGUUAACGAACGAGACUCUAACCUGCUAAAUAGUACAUUUGUGUUCUAACGCAAAUGCUGNCUUCUUAGAGGAAUAAAUAGCGUUUAGCUAAAUGAAAUUGAGCAAUAACAGGUCUGUGAUGCCCUUAGAUGUCCGGGGCCGCACGCGCGCUACAAUGGCAGUAACAGCGAGUUUUAUUCCUAGCUAGAAAUGGCCGGGUAACCUGCUAAAUCACUGUCGUGUCAGGAAUAGUGGAUUGAAAUUAUUCCACUUGAACGAGGAAUUCCUAGUAAGCGCAAGUCACCUCUUGCGCUGAUUACGUCCCUGCCC
rnacentral:rRNA from 1 species